rnacentral:rRNA from 1 species
AUUGAACGCUGGCGGCAGGCCUAACACAUGCAAGUUGAGCGAGCGGCGGACGGGUGAGUAAUGUAUGGGGACUGCCCGAUAGAGGGUGAUAACUUCUGGAAACGGUUGCUAAUACCGCAUACUAUCGGAUAACCCAUAUGGGGUUAGCUAGUAGGUGGGGUAAAGGCUCCCCUAGGCGACGCUCUCUAGCUGGUCUGAGAGGAUGAUCAGCCAAACUGGGACAUGGAAACGGCCCGAGAUCCUCCGGAGUCAGCCGUGGGGAAUAAUGCACAAAGGGCGCAAGCCUGAAGCAGCCAUUCCGCGUGUAUGAAGAAAGCCUUAGGGUUGUAAAGUACUUUCAGCGGGGAGGCGUUACCCGCAGAAGAAACAACGGCUAACUCCGUGCCAACAGCCGCGGUAAUAC